rnacentral:rRNA from 1 species
AACGAACGCUGGCGGCAGGCUUAACACAUGCAAGUCGAACGGUUGUAGCAAUACAGCAGUGGCAGACGGGUGAGUAACACGUGGGAACCUUCCUAGGGGUACGGAACAACUCAGGGAAACUUGAGCUAAUACCGUAUACGUCCGUGAGGAGAAAGAUUUAUCGCCCUUAGACGGACCCGCGUCGGAUUAGCUAGUUGGUGGGGUAACGGCCUACCAAGGCGACGAUCCGUAGCUGAUCUUAGAGGAUGAUCAGCCACACUGGGACUGAGACACGGCCCAGACUCCUACGGGAGGCAGCAGUGGGGAAUCUUGGACAAUGGGCGCAAGCCUGAUCCAGCCAUGCCGCGUGAGUGAAGAAGGUCUUCGGAUUGUAAAGCUCUUUUGCCAGGGACGAUAAUGACGGUACCUGGAGAAUAAGCCCCGGCAAACUUCGUGCCAGCAGCCGCGGUAAU